rnacentral:rRNA from 1 species
CGUUUAGGGGUAAACCUGAGAAACCCGAAAGGUCGAAGGGAGAAAUUCAUUCGCGUUUCGCCGCAGGCGUCGGACGGUCGAGUGACGAAAAUCGUUCGCGUUUUUCGCGCCUUCAGUCUGUACGAACCGGUAGCGAACGUGUGCACUUUUCUCCUGGUAGGACGUCGCGAUCCGUUGAGUGUCGGUCUACGGCCCGCGGUGGAGCCCGUUUGUCGAUUUUACGAUCGUACGCGCGGACCCGUGGUGUUCUGGCCGACUCGCUCGACGGUAUAAGAACGGUUCGGGGUCGCUACUCUAUAGAGAGCGUUCGACCGAUAACAAGUGCGCCGGAUGCGUCGACGUUCGGACCUGGUGCCGAUGGCGAUCUCCGGUGACUGCUGGUUGUCGAGUUCUCGGACGGACCUCGCGUAUUCCUUCGCGUAAUACGCUAAAAACCGAUCGGCGACGCUAUAGCUUUGGGUACUUUCAGGACCCGUCUUGAAACACGGACCAAGGAGUCUAGCAUGUGCGCGAGUCAUUGGGAUUAAACAAAACCUAAAGGCGCAAUGAAAGUGAAAGUCUUCCUAGCGAAGACCUAGGGAAGACGAGCGGUUCGCCCUUAAAAGCGACCGUUUUGCAUUCCCGGGGCGUCUCGUUCUCAUCGCGAGAAGAGGCGCACCAAGAGCGUACACGCUGGGACCCGAAAGAUGGUGAACUAU